GGGGUUAUAUUUAAUUAUAAUAUUUGAAUUGCAAUCAAAAAGUAUCUCAAAAGGUUGACCUUU
rnacentral:tRNA from 1 species